GUCUAAGGCCAUAGCACCCUGAACGCGCCCUAUCUCAUUUGAUCUCGGAAGCUAAGCAGGGUCGGGCCUGGUUAGUACUUGGGUGGGAGACCGCCUGGGCAUACCGGGUGCUGUAGGCU
ensembl:rRNA 5S_rRNA 5S ribosomal RNA